rnacentral:rRNA from 1 species
GACGUAGGGGGCAAGCGUUAUUCGGAAUCAUUGGGCGUAAAGCGCUCGUAGGCGGAUCGGACAGUCGGUGAAGAAAGACCCGGGCUCAACUCGGGGAACGGCACCGAUACUAUCGAUCUUGAGGCAAUCAGAGGGUGAUGGAAGUUCCUGGUGUAGCGGUGAAAUGCGCAGAGUAUCAGGAGGAACACCGGUGGCGAAGGCGGGUCUCUGGGCCGAAAUUGACGCUGAGGAGCGAAAGCGUGGGGAGCAAACAGG